UACGUAGGCAGCGAGCGUUGUUCGGAGUUACUGGGCGUAAAGGGUGUGUAGGCGGUUUUCUAAGUCUGGUGUGAAAUCUCCCGGCUCAACUGGGAGGGUGCGCCGAAAACUGGAAGGCUAGAGUACUGGAUGGGUAAGUGGAAUUCCUGGUGUAGCGGUGAAAUGCGUAGAUAUCAGGAGGAACACCUGUGGUGUAGACGGCUUACUGGACAGUAACUGACGCUGAGACACGAAAGCGUGGGUAGCAAACAGG
rnacentral:rRNA from 1 species